UCACCAAGUUCAUACACCAGGUUUUCUUCAGGUCGAUGUUUUAAAACUUUCAUGUUAAGCUUCGAACGCAUAACAUUUAGCAGCAUACCUUUACUGUUUCCGCAAAAGAUGGCGCUGCUGUCUCUGAACACUGUGAGAUUUGAAUACAUGAUUAGCUCUUGUUUUCAGAGUGUGUGAUGACGUGUUAUUUGUUUAUUUCGCAAGAGUGUCUGCUACGUUGGGCCAGCCAUGGCAGCACACGUUGUAGACCUGAAUUUGAUACUGAUGCACUUUGUGAUGGUGUUUUUAGAAGAAUACAAGUAGUCCUACCCGCGAGUCUUCAGUUUAUUUCUUAUUGAGUUAAACGGUAUCAUCAAGAAUAGUUAACGAACGUUUAUCAAUCAUAUAUCCUCCCCUCACCCGGUCAACCCAAAUAGCAUCGACAAAUAUACAAAACGAAAAAACAAUAUAUAUAUAUAUAUAUUUGAAGUUGCUUGACAUUUUUAGUAAAGAACAAAUAGAUGAACUUGCUGGCUGGUGUAUUUUAUGGCUAUUAUAGUCUGCUUGUAAUUAAAUAUACACUGUCGUGCCAGGAAAUGGUCACAAUCACAUGCGACGAAGAUGUUAUACUAUACUAUAAAGCCACUUCUGGAUUGCAAGCUCACCUCAAGGACCCAUUUUCACCAUAAAAUAGCGGAUCUAUACAAAUACAUUGACCCACAAAUUUUGCCCGAAGAACUGGGGGGUACUUCUGGGCCAAUGAAACCAGGAAAACUUGAAGAGAAUUUCUUGGCCAGUCACGACGACAUCGUUCAACUCAACUACUGCGGCUACAUCAUAUAACUGAACUACAAUUUGAUUCCUUGAAUGUGAUAGAGGGUGCUAUCAAGGAACUCUGAUCGUCAUUAGACACGUUCCAAGGGACACUGCGACAUCGCUGCUACAUUGAUCUUUUACUUGGUUGCAUUUUAACAGAGACUGUUAGAAUGUCAUUUGCGUGGGGCUGUAUAGUGAAGUCCUUGUACACUCUAUCAAGACCUUGUCAGGGCAAAAAGGUACAAAUAAAAAGAUACUAACAACACUACUCUUUCUGAAGCUGUCUGGGAUAUGGCGUGCAACUCAAGCCUUGCACCAGCUGACAAAAAUUGCAACUUAUAAAUGCGUCCUUCUUCGUAGGUAAGUGUAGUUUUUGCUGCUUAGCAUUCUUAUGUUUAACGUGGGCACCUAUCUAAGAAAAAUGUAUCUAUCUAUGCCGAUAUAUUCACGCAUAUUGAUCAUACUUCCCUAUGUUUACGUGCUGCUUACGAAAAUAUUCAAUGUGAUUGGUACAGAUCCCAAAAGCUCGUAAUUUUCUUCUGUCAGCUACACUUCAUAAAAAAUAGCCUAAAGCUAUUUGUAAAUGAUGCAGAUGCCACAUUUUUGAGAAACCGUAAUAAAAGAAAACAAUUAUAAAAAACCAUAAUACUCAACAACCGUAUCGUGAGCUUCGUACAAGAUUUGUAAUACAUAUUUUGCCUAUGUAGGGUAAUAAUAUAGGCAUUCCUAGAAGUUGCGUUCUAAAAUGCAAAUACAAAUAAGAUUUCCAGAACUGAAGCAGAACACGCGAAAAGCAGGUGUGCUAGCUGCUUUGAUUAGGUGCAGGUUUUUUCCGAAACACGCGUAUGGCCUUUACUAAUGUAAUCAUGAUUAACGGAACUCCUACCGCAAAGGAAGGUGUGUGCGGAAGGUGAUUGAGCAAGGAUCCAAUGCGAUCUGCGAUGGAAACGUCGACCUGCCGCUCAUGUUAUUAGGGAAACGUUUAAAGAUACACAUGUCUUGAUGCGGAAUUGAGCAAAUCGAAACCGUGACCGUAGAGAAUACCAGUUACAAUGAACGUUCAGGUCGAUACAUGCAAAAUAUGUCAUACUGGUAGUUAUCGCUAUUUAACCAGUGCUUAUGAACAAGUCACAUCUAAAUAGUCCCAAUAAGUAGUAGCCAGGCUCUACAGAUGUGCCUAAUUUACUGCUCGUGGAACUCAUCAAUGACGAUUUAGACUAAGAGAAAAACGGAGCUGAACAUGACAGAGAAAUGAAUUCGUUAGCUAACUUAGUCUGUAAACACUUUGUCCAAAGUGAUCCAUUCACAUUGUGUGCAUUUGGGACAAAUGAUUGCCUACAACCAGGUACGUAGCCUCUAUACUGUCCACAAACAACAGACAAAGACUUUGUUGUAUUACGGAUUCGUUGUAUCGGAGGAUUGCUUCAAGAUUAUAUCGAGCGUUUUCACAGGAGACAACUGUUCCUGUUCGUAUGACAGGAUUUUAGAAAAAUACGAUACUGUAUGAUGGGCUAAUGUCACCUUUCAGAGUUUUACGGUUUAAGGCAUAUGGAUAUCCUCGCAUCAUCCGCAAACAGCCAUUUUACGGAUCAGAAGACGUAGGUCUCAUCUUUUUACCUUCUUGGAGACUACUAUCGCUAGCGCGAGUCGAUCGGAUGUUCUCGUAAUGACCUGCUCUGUCGCAAAGUAUACUAGUAUAGAGCCAUGAAUGACAUCCAAUGCCUAUGCUAAACCUAUAAUUGCUAUCGUUUAUAGUAUCAUUAAUAGAAUGAGAUACAAAGCUUAAGAUACUGAGAGAAUGUGAGCCGGCGAAAGAACAGAUUUUUUUUUUAGCAUCGUGCGAAAAUCAGAACCACGCACUUCGAAACGAACAUUUCCAUCAGAUACCCCGAAAGACGUUUCAGAUAACUUAUUCUAGCUAAUCAAAACAGUUCUCAAUUGAUCUAUGUAAUUCACUGAAAUAUUACGAGUUUAAAAAGUUGUUUAUGCCAAUGGCGCUAUCGACGGGAUUAUCGGAGCCGAUUUAGCUAGAAUUAUCUGAUUUUUACGUGUUACGACAUGCUCCAAGCAUAAUGGAGCGAUUAAUUGUUACUUUACUACGAAUCCCGAAAUUACUGGCAAUGAGUGGACGGCACGAUAAAAGUUAGAAAAAGUACAUAAAUAAAGUUACAACAACGACCAAGCCUAAUCUCCACUUCUUUCUAUACGGCUCAUACGCGUUUUGUGGGGCUAAUGGAAGUGCAGCGGGCAAAGACGGGUGCGGGAAUGGUGAUGUUUUGGGCAUACCGAGAACUCCGAUCUUUAAUCUCCUCUACAAACUUCUCUCGGAGGAAUAAAUGAGUCUAAUAGUGCUACAAUGGUGCCAUUUAUAUUUUACAUACCAUUUAAGAGAGAUUUCCGUAAAAAUGGACGUUUGUCUUGGAUAUUCUAGAUUUAAGCAGAGCUGGGUAAAAUGCGGAUCCUGCGUAUGUCAUGAGCGGCUUAACAUGUAUCUUGAUUAGUCCGAUGUAUAAAGUCGGGUCUUUCAGAACAAAUAGGUGUAAU